UCAACAUCUAUGUAAUAUCAAUUUGUAUGUGAUGUAUGGAUCUUUUAAACAUCAAGAUUAUGAUCCUCAGCAAUAUUGAAGUAUCAAAGCAAAUCAAAUCAUUCACUUUCUUCGCUGAUGCUAAUGUAUUAAUCUGGUAAGUCGAGAGUAAAUCUUAAUUCUUGCAACCAUUUCUUCUUGUGUUCAACCUUAGUUGCUUCCAGUUGUCAUAAUGAAUAUCCUUAAAGCUUUCUUUGUAAUCACUUUGAUUGUUUAUUUCAAUUGUUCACUUUCCAACGGUUUUUCAAUUUCAAAUUUACCAAAUGAAGAUUUAAUACGACAGUCAAACGACUCCAAUUUUAAGAUAUGGGCUGUUCUCGUUGCUGGAUCCAAUACAUGGUCCAAUUAUCGACACCAGGCCGAUGUUUGCCAUGCUUACCAAGUGUUGAUCAAACAUGGAGUCCACCCUGACAAUAUAAUCACCAUGAUGUACGAUGAUAUCGCUCAUAGUAAAUCAAACCCAACUCCUGGUGUAAUCAUCAACAUUCCUGGUGGAGUCAAUGUUUACAGCAAUAUUACCAUUGACUAUAGACAUUCAGAUGUCAAUAAAAAUAACUUUAUGAACGUCUUGAAAGGUGAUGCUGCAUUGAAAGCCAAAGGUAAAAAAGUGUUGGACUCUGGGCCCAAUGACCACGUUUUCGUGUAUUUCUCUGACCAUGGUGGAGCUGGUGUCCUCUGUUUCCCUCGUAAUGUUAUUACUUCGGCUGAACUUAAUUCAACUCUUCAAUGGAUGAAAGCAAAUAAUCGGUUUGGCGCUAUGACUUUGUACAUUGAAGCCUGUGAAUCUGGUUCAAUGUUUAAAAACAUUUUACCC